rnacentral:rRNA from 1 species
GAUCAUGGCUCAGGAUGAACGCUAGCUACAGGCUUAACACAUGCAAGUCGAGGGGAAACGACAUCGAAAGCUUGCUUUUGAUGGGCGUCGACCGGCGCACGGGUGAGUAACGCGUAUCCAACCUGCCCACCACUUGGGGAUAACCUUGCGAAAGUAAGACUAAUACCCAAUGACAUCCCACGAAGACAUCUGAAUGGGAUUAAAAAUUUAUCGGUGAUGGAUGGGGAUGCGUCUGAUUAG